rnacentral:tmRNA from 2 species
GGGGGCGUACUGGCUUCGACGUGUAUUGUUGAUUGACUGAGAGCAUGCCGAGCUUUGGUUUUGUGCUCGCUAAACAAAUGACCACAACAAUAAGUGCAGAAACAACAGUUCCUGCCAGUAACUUAAUGCUUGCCCUUUUUGCCGGUAUGUUUGCACUCUUGGGUGCUUUCCGCCGCAAAGAUGAGCAAACAGCUUUCGCUGUAGCUUAAGUUACGACCUUUUUUAAGUGACGUGUUCACCAGUUGCUUAGAAUCGUAUUAUCAAGAUGAAACAACAAGCAAGAUUUUUUCUUUGUAGGAGCUUGUUCGAUUGCUAUAAAGGACUUUGUUACAUUACCAUGUCUCUAUGGGUGUAACCUUGUAUAAGUAGAGGCUGAGCAUGGAGUGCUUAGCAUUUGAUGACAUACGGACAUGGGUUCGAUUCCCAUCGCCUCCACCA